GACGAGGGACCUAGCGUUGUUCGGAAUCAUUGGGCGUAAAGAGUAUGUAGGCGGCCUUGUAAGUCAGUUGUGAAAGCCCCGGGCUCAACCCGGGAAGUGCAAUUGAUACUGCUUGGCUUGAAUGUGGAAGAGGGCAGUAGAAUUCCAGGUGUAGUGGUGAAAUACGUAGAUAUCUGGAGGAAUACCGGUGGCGAAGGCGGCUGCCUGGUCCUACAUUGACGCUGAGAUACGAAAGCGUGGGGAGCAAACAGG
rnacentral:rRNA from 1 species